CCUACGGGAGGCAGCAGUAGGGAAUAUUGCUCAAUGGGGGAAACCCUGAAGCAGCAACGCCGCGUGGAGGAUGAAGGUUUUCGGAUUGUAAACUCCUUUUGUUAGAGAAGAUAAUGAACGUAUCUAAAGAAUAAGCACCGGCUAAAUCAGGGCCCGCAGCCGCGGGAAUAAGGAGGGUGCAAGCGUUUCUCGGAAUCACUGGGCGUAAAGAGCGCGUAGGCGGGAUAGCAAGUCAGCUGUGAAAUCCUAUGGCUUAACCAUAGAACUGCAUUUGAAACUGGUAUUCUAGAGUAUGGGAGAGGUUGGUGGAAUUCUUGGUGUAGGGGUAAAAUCCGUAGAGAUCAAGAGGAAUACUCAUUGCGAAGGCGACCAGCUAGAACAUAACUGACGCUGAGGCGCGAAAGCGUGGGGAGCAAACAGGAUUAGAUACCCCAGUAGUC
rnacentral:rRNA from 1 species